UAGGGAAUCUUCGGCAAUGGGGGCAACCCUGACCGAGCAACGCCCGCGUGAGUGAAGAAGUUUUCGGAUCGUAAAGCUCUGUUGUAAGUCAAGAACGAGUGUGAGAGUGGAAAGUUCACACUGNGNGGUAGCUUACCAGAAAGGGACGGCUAACUACGUGCCAGCAGCCGCGGUAAUACGUAGGUCCCGAGCGUUGUCCGGAUUUAUUGGGCGUAAAGCGAGCGCAGGCGGUUUGAUAAGUCUGAAGUUAAAGGCUGUGGCUCAACCAUAGUUCGCUUUGGAAACUGUCAAACUUGAGUGCAGAAGGGGAGAGUGGAAUUCCAUGUGUAGCGGUGAAAUGCGUAGAUAUACGGAGGAACACCGGUGGCGAAAGCGGCUCUCUGGUCUGUAACUGACGCUGAGGCUCGAAAGCGUGGGGAGCGAACAGGAUUAGAUACCCUGGUAGUCCACGCCGUAAACGAUGAGUGCUAGGUGUUGGAUCCUUUCCGGGAUUCAGUGCCGCAGCUAACGCAUUAAGCACUCCGCCUGGGGAGUACGACCGCAAGGUUG
rnacentral:rRNA from 1 species